rnacentral:rRNA from 1 species
UACGGAGGGUGCAAGCGUUGUCCGGAUUUAUUGGGUUUAAAGGGUGCGUAGGCGGCUCAUUAAGUCUGGGGUGAAAGCCCGUUGCUCAACAACGGAACUGCCCUGGAAACUGGCGAGCUUGAGUACAGACGAGGGUGGCGGAAUAGAUGGUGUAGCGGUGAAAUGCAAAGAUACCAUCUAGAACCCCGAUUGCGAAGGCAGCUGCCUAGACUGUAACUGACGCUGAGGCACGAAAGCGUGGGGAGCGAACAGG